rnacentral:tRNA from 1 species
AGGGUUGUGGGUCAGAGGUAGAUCGCUUGCCUAGCAUGCAUGAGGCACUGGGUUCAAUCCUCAGCACCACAU